rnacentral:piRNA from 1 species
UGAAACACUUCAAGGUGCUGAUAUUCUUGU